rnacentral:lncRNA from 1 species
ACCCUUUCAGCUAGGUAAUCCUGCUGUCCACAAUGGCAUUAAUCUCUUCUCCAAGGGCUGCUGUGGCCAUCCUCAUUCUCUUCGCCAUUUUUCUCACUCCAAAGCUGAUGUUACCAUGCGAGGCAACAAGACCAACCCGAGGUAUCAUGUGCCUAAUAAAAAAUUACUAGGACCCAAUCUUGAUCAAUAUAUUUAAAUUGUUCAUGAACAAAAUAAUUUGACCUGUAUAUGUUAGGAAAUUGGCUUGUUUGAUUUCAAUUUUUGAUGUCUUAAUAGUCAUUUGUUUCGCGCUUGGAUUCCAACAUUAUCAUAAUCUGUUUCUGUGUUACUUGAUUUGGUUUUGAAUGCAGAACUUCUGGUGCAGCCCCCGAUCUGUCCUCGCUGUUUUUGUUGCGCACCACCACCCUUGAUAGGGCAUAAUUUGUUGUUAAUUUUAUGAUUAAUUUCCCUCUUUGUUCUUGCCAAAUAUUGUUUUAAUUGUUGAAAUGUACUUAUAUUUGGUAUUGGGACUUAAUUUCAGGGAAUGGAGCAGGAAAUUACGAAAAAGGGGAUAAUUUCUGGAGAAAAGGGAGACUUCUAAAAAACUUCACAAACCUGGCCCGCGUUGCUGAGAAGAAACGGACUUCCAGCUCCCUUUUGCUGACUAGGAGUCUGACUAUGAAGAAGAAACGAAAAAGAAGGACAUUGAGACCUUUUGUCUUUUCUUUUCCUUAUCUUCGGCAGAAACAAACGGAAAUAGGGGGAGGCUGAGUAGCAUUUGGAAACGAAAAGAAUAGGGAGAAAACAAUUCGUCAGAGCCCCACUUUUACUUGUACUCUUGCUCAAUUCGGUAGAGACCGCACAGGGGCUCAAAACAAGGAGGUGGAUUCGGCAGGCUUGUGCUAAUUCGUGGGGACCACGGAGAGAAGUGAAGCAAUUUGUUUUAGAUUAGGAGACAAUUCUUUUCCUUUGGCCGCGGCUUUAUCUUUGGGGAAUUGAGAGUUUUUUAGCAUAGUUUAGUUUUGUUUCUUUCUUGGCUCUUUGGAUGGCCUGGACCUCAAUGAAAUUACUUGAAGAUUUUCUCAUGAGACGUGGUUAAGUUUGUCUAGUCAAGAACAACGGAGGACUUGGUUCUACUAAAUUUGUGAGAUCGAAUUAGUUUUUAUUUAUUUUCAUUAUUCACUGAUAUUUGUCUAUCUUCUGCUUUAUGUUCAUAUGGUUGUUUUAUCAUUCGAUUAUCCAGGGCCCGGAUUCUAGAUUAAUUCAAUAACCUGAAGCCAAUUAGGAUAGUUAAAUCCGUAAUUGUUUAAUUAUUCUAAACUGGUGGCAACUGGCAUGAUUGGAUUUGUGUCAGGGGGAUAGACAGGCUAACUUAAAGAGACCCUCGUAGCGUGUUGAUUGGUUAGAAUUAGACUCUUCUAAUUAUUCAUGCAAUUAGGGAAUUGAACUUCUAUGGUCGUACUUAGGGUUAUUUCCUGAUUAGAGAAAUAGUCAACAGUCGUACCUUGGCUAUCGACAAAUUGAGGAAGAGUUGGUUGUUUAUCGCGUGUAUGACAACUAUAACUAAUUUAUCAGAUAGUAACUGGAAUAAUCCUUGCAUCUGUGAUCGAAUUAAGUGAACCAUCUCCGAAGUUGUCUCUUGGCUAGAGUUCGUCAAUUAUUAUUUUUAUUGUGAUAAUUAGUUAUUUGAGUUGUAGUUAUUUUAUUUUAUUUUAAUUUAUUCCAAGCAAUUUAGUUACUCUCAUUUUCAAAAACCCCCAUAUCUGGAACUUGAGAAGAAAUUAAAUUAUCCCCAGUCCCAGUGGAUUCGACCCUACUUACCGCUAUAUACAAAAUUUGUAUUUUAUUUGAGCAGGUAUUUAUUAUUGCACAGGUUCGGCACCUGUCAAUUUUUGGCGCCGUUGCCGGGGACUGGUGUCAGAUUAAUUUGUUUCUUUUUGAAGUUCACCUUGUUUUCAUUUUUAACUUAUUUCUCUUAUUUUUUUUUAUUAUAUAGUUCAUGGCUUCUAACACUCCGUUUUUUGGUGAUAUACUGGAUUUUGUUUUCGGGGAAGGCAAUGAGACUGAUUGUUUUUCUAAGUUUGCAUAUUUAGAGGCAAUAAACUCUAUUAAAAAAAGAAUGGCUGCUGCAACCUGCGAAAUUUGUUAUGCCAGGGAUCAUUCAAUCGGUAUGUGCCCCGAAUAUCAAGAUGAUUUGAGUGUCACAUUCAAUAAUUAUGGAGAUUUUUCACCCUGGUCUCAAACGUGGUAUAACCCUAAUCCAAACGGGUAUGAUCAAGGAUGGUGGGAUAACUCCAGUUAUGAUUAUACAACAGGGCCAAUGAAUUUUCAGCAGUAUGAGUCUCAAGAACCGUCAUCCAUGUCAGGUAUGUCUCUUGAAGAAAUGGUUGAAUUAAUAGCUACUAACACAUAUCAAAUUCAACAGGAGGUACAUCAACUUCAACAGGAGACACAAAGGAUGAAUAAAGAGAUGAAAGAAGCAAGGCUUGAAUGGGCAUUUAAAACGAGCAAAUUGAUUUCUCCAGUUUAUGAAGAAUUGCCCUCACCGACUAUUAUCGACCAUGAGGAAGAUGAGAGUGCAAUUAUUCUGACAAAUGACAUGGUACUGCAAGAGUCUCAAGAAAAAGAAUCUAAAGAUGUAGUUGAAAAGAAAGUUGAAGAGCAAGAAUUGAGACCCCAACAUCAAAUGGUUCAAGUGAAUGAAUCCAGUGAACAAUCUCCAAAUGCGGUGACAUCUCAUCCAUUCCUUGAUCAACAUUUUCGUGACUCUUAUUCUUUAAUUCCUGUUAGUGAGAUUGAUUUUAUUUUACCAGACGAUUUUGAAUUUCAUACCAGGAAUAAAUUGAGAGUCAUGAUGGCAAAAUAUCUCGAACCAAUAAGUGCUCUUGAUGGAGGAGUGAGUGAAGGUUUAAGAUCAUCAUUUGUUUGUUUGGUGCCAUUUACUAGUCCAUGGAAGCCCGUAGCUCGUGUGCCCAAGAAUUACUCCAUUUACGAGGGUUAUCAGGAUUACAUAGAAGAUGAAGCACUGAAACGAGCCACAAGAUUUUAUCCUCCAUGAAUACACAUGAAAAUGUCUAGCCAAAGACAUUAAAGAAAGGCGCUACUUGGGAGGCAACCCAAGACUAUUUGUUUUAGUUUCAUGCAUUUUUGAAGUUUUAGUUAAGUGUUAGUGUCAAUUAAUGGUUUGAUGUUUGGUGGCAGGGAAAUAGCAGUUAGACGUGCCCACGCCAGGUGGUCACGUCUGAGGAAAAGAAAUUUUCGCUCAGGUUCUGUGAACUCCAUAGGAGUUAGACGUGCCCACGCCAGAUGGUCACGCCUGACGGAGAAAAUUUUCGUUCAGGUUCUGCGGACUCUAUAGCAGUUAGACGUGCCCACGCUAGGUGGUCACGCUAACGGAUCGAGAAUUUUCGACGGAUGGUCAAAAGUCUAGGGGCAGUUAGGCGUGCCCACGCCUUAGCCAGAGGGUCCUUGACUAAAAAAAAAAAAAAAAUUUUCCCAAAAACUUUUUUUUUUCUUUUCUUCUUUUUCUUUCUUUCUUCUUCUUUCUUUCUUUCUUUCUUUCUUUCUUCCUCGCUGCCCUGCUUCCGUUUUCUUUUAUUUCUUCUUCCGGCCGCCGCCCUUUCACCCAUACCAUCCAGCUCCACCACCACAUCAAUUCGCCAGCCACACUUCAGCUCACCUCCGCAAGCUCUUCCCCAGCUUCGCCAUUGCCGCACGCCCAGCACCACCGCUGUCCUCCGCCGCCAUUCCUGCCAGCCACGCUCGCACCAGUCGCCGCCGCCGCCGCCUCCCAAAGCCACGGACGCACGCCAUCUGCUGCCCGUUGCUCUAUCCAGCAGCCCCUUGCGCGCAACCCAGCUGCCACCGCCGCUGCUCGCCGCUGUUGCCCUGCACAAGCACUGUUGAAUUUUUGGCAGCCGCGCCUACAUACCGCAGCUCUAGCCCAGGCGCUCCGCCGCGCUGCAUCGUGCGAACAAGCAGGGGACCUCCACCAGCCCCCUGUGCUCUCUCACCUCUCUCUCCGCUGCUGUUCACCACCAGCUCUGCACCGCCAGCUCGUCUCCACCUUCAGCAGCUCCAAAGGCCGCCGCUGCUCUUUGUUUUCUACUCCACUUUUCUUUGUUUUUUUUGGGCAUUACUUUGAAAAUUUGUUUGCUGAACUCACUUGUGGUUCCUCUACUGCAUUUUUGCCUAAUUAAUUCCGUAAUUGCCUUCUGUGGGUCUGUGUUGAGCUCUGGUUGGCUCCAGUCAGUCAUUUGUCGGCUUACCUGUGACACACUGGCUUUUAUUACGCUGAUUGUUGCCAUAAAUUAAGUUAGUUGCUAAGUUGAUUGUUUGGGGUUUCUUAGUGAAUUGAGUUUGCCGUUUGAUUUAAUUCUUCUCUGUGCGUACACCAGUGGUACUGGAUGUGGUAGUUUGCCUAACAUUUAUUCAUUCUCUUUGGUUGGCUGCUUGAUUGAAAGCUCCGAGCUUGUGACUAAGUUGUUAUUGCCUAAAUUCUGACCUGCUAUUACUGGACUUGCUGAAUUCUUGGGGGCAUUUGUGGGGAUUUUGGGUGGAUAUGUGUCCAAUUGCUGAAAUUUGUUGCUUUGUUUAAUCAGUCGCAUUGCUCCUAGUUUGCUUGAGUGAAAUUGGUUGGACGUCCUUUGCCCGUGGAGUUUAACUGGUACAUUGUUUGGAAUGAUUUUCUGGUACUGAUUGACUUGUUGGGCUUAAAUUGCUCAGGGCUUUAAAUUGCUAAUUUGGUGGGCCAUUUAUUACGCACUACCCUUUUGAAUUGGGAGAUACCUGUGCUUAUUGGGUUGAUUGUUGACUUCAUUAGAGGAUGUUGAUUUCUACUGAUCUGCAUUUACUUGUUCCUCUAUAUGUUGGCAAUUUUGUUUCUGUUGAUUGGGUUACUUGUUAGCGGCAAUAGUGAGAUCAAGGUUCUCUUCUAGGUCCAGAAUCUCUUGACCUUAACCUACUCCAACCCAACUCAACCAAGCCUCGCCUCACCCACUGCUGUGGCCCUGCCAUGAUCUCCGUGAUUUCAGGGAAGUACCGUUGUUCUUUUGCUUACUAUUACUGUUUAUUUAGCACAUUGAGGGCAAUGUGUGAAUUAGGUGUGGGGGGGGUCAGUUUGGGUGCUAGUAUUUUUAGUUUUUUUUUUGUUCUAGAGGUUUUUCCUUUGUUUUAGUUUGAUAUUUAUCUCCUUUUUCGUUUAUUUUAUUUCCUUUUUUUUUUCUAGUGGUCAGUCUUCAUAUGAAUACCAAGUUUGAUGCUGGAUUGUUGUCUCUAAUUCUGCUAUUGCCAAGUAUUAUUAACAAAAGGAUAUUAAAUUAAUGUGGUUGAGUUCAUGAACAUCUCUCUGGUGAAUAUCGGUAAUUGCUUGACUUUUCCAAUUUUUGGUUAACUUUUCUAGGCAUGGGGAAUGAUAGUUGGCAUUUUUUUUUAUGUGAAUUGGUCCAAUUAUUAAUUUUAGUUCUCCAUAUUUGGAAAUUUGAGGCUGGCUGCUGUUAUCUUUGUGUUAUUUUUAGUUAUUGUGCUGUAUGGUUGUAAAUAAGAGCUGACUGUACUCUGCUAGUAGUUACUACUAAGUAACCGGGGAUCUUCACCUAAAGUGUCGAUUUUCGCGUCAAAAGGUAGUAAUUGCUAUGAGUGCGUGGUCCUGUAGCGAUUGGAGCUGAGUAACCGGGCUCCUCCAUCUAUCAAAUGUUGGGGUUCGCGUCAAAAGGUUCUAAGGGCUAUGGACUAAGUCUUUUGUUACUCAAAAAAAAAAAUAAAAUAAAAUAAAAAAUAAAAUAAAAUAAAAUAAUAUAUUGUGUUAGUAUGUGAACAAGUCAGCUUGUCGGUUUGUGAUCUUAAUGUCGAGAUUUUUAUUAAUAGUUGGACCAUUUACUGAUAGAUGUGAGCAACCAUUCCUUUUCCUUAGAUUAGUUUGCUUUAAAUUGGAGGAGUUGGUGAUUGGGAAGCUAACCGGGUGGUUUUUCUUUGAUUUUAACCCGUGAUGCUUGACAUAUGUUUUUCUGGGUACCUUGGCAAUACGGUAGUUGGAACAAUAGCCAUUAUUAAAUUUCGGUAUUCAAUUGUUGUUCUCAUGCUUGAGGGCAAGCAUGAUUUAGGUGUGGGGAGAAUUGAUAGGGCAUAAUUUGUUGUUAAUUUUAUGAUUAAUUUCCCUCUUUGUUCUUGCCAAAUAUUGUUUUAAUUGUUGAAAUGUACUUAUAUUUGGUAUUGGGACUUAAUUUCAGGGAAUGGAGCAGGAAAUUACGAAAAAGGGGAUAAUUUCUGGAGAAAAGGGAGACUUCUAAAAAACUUCACAAACCUGGCCCGCGUUGCUGAGAAGAAACGGACUUCCAGCUCCCUUUUGCUGACUAGGAGUCUGACUAUGAAGAAGAAACGAAAAAGAAGGACAUUGAGACCUUUUGUCUUUUCUUUUCCUUAUCUUCGGCAGAAACAAACGGAAAUAGGGGGAGGCUGAGUAGCAUUUGGAAACGAAAAGAAUAGGGAGAAAACAAUUCGUCAGAGCCCCACUUUUACUUGUACUCUUGCUCAAUUCGGUAGGGACCGCACAGGGGCUCAAAACAAGGAGGUGGAUUCGGCAGGCUUGUGCUAAUUCGUGGGGACCACGGAGAGAAGUGAAGCAAUUUGUUUUAGAUUAGGAGACAAUUCUUUUCCUUUGGCCGCGGCUUUAUCUUUGGGGAAUUGAGAGUUUUUUAGCAUAGUUUAGUUUUGUUUCUUUCUUGGCUCUUUGGAUGGCCUGGACCUCAAUGAAAUUACUUGAAGAUUUUCUCAUGAGACGUGGUUAAGUUUGUCUAGUCAAGAACAACGGAGGACUUGGUUCUACUAAAUUUGUGAGAUCGAAUUAGUUUUUAUUUAUUUUCAUUAUUCACUGAUAUUUGUCUAUCUUCUGCUUUAUGUUCAUAUGGUUGUUUUAUCAUUCGAUUAUCCAGGGCCCGGAUUCUAGAUUAAUUCAAUAACCUGAAGCCAAUUAGGAUAGUUAAAUCCGUAAUUGUUUAAUUAUUCUAAACUGGUGGCAACUGGCAUGAUUGGAUUUGUGUCAGGGGGAUAGACAGGCUAACUUAAAGAGACCCUCGUAGCGUGUUGAUUGGUUAGAAUUAGACUCUUCUAAUUAUUCAUGCAAUUAGGGAAUUGAACUUCUAUGGUCGUACUUAGGGUUAUUUCCUGAUUAGAGAAAUAGUCAACAGUCGUACCUUGGCUAUCGACAAAUUGAG